GACGAACGCUGGCGGCGUGCUUAACACAUGCAAGUCGAACGGAAAGGCCCUGCUUUUGUGGGGUGCUCGAGUGGCGAACGGGUGAGUAACACGUGAGUAACCUGCCCUUGACUUUGGGAUAACUUCAGGAAACUGGGGCUAAUACCGGAUAGGAGCUCCUGCUGCAUGGUGGGGGUUGGAAAGUUUCGGCGGUUGGGGAUGGACUCGCGGCUUAUCAGCUUGUUGGUGGGGUAGUGGCUUACCAAGGCUUUGACGGGUAGCCGGCCUGAGAGGGUGACCGGCCACAUUGGGACUGAGAUACGGACCAGACUCCUACGGGAGGCAGCAGGGGGGAAUAUUGCACAAUGGGCGGAAGCCGGAUGCAGCAACGCCGCGUGCGGGAUGACGGCCUGCGGGUUGUAAACCGCUUUCGCCUGUGACGAAGCGUGAGUGACGGUAAUGGGUAAAGAAGCACCGGCUAACUACGUG
rnacentral:rRNA from 1 species